UACGUAGGGGGCAAGCGUUAUCCGGAAUUACUGGGCGUAAAGCGCACGCAGGCGGUUCGCCAAGUUUGGAGUGACAGUUGUCGUCUCAACCGACAAAGGACUUCAAAAACUGGUGAACUUGAGGACGAGAGAGGAACAUGGAACUCCAGGUGUAGUAGUGAAAUGCGUAGAUAUCUGGAAGAACACCAAUGGCGAAGGCAAUGUUCUGGCUCGUUUCUGACGCUCAGGUGCGAAAGCCAGGGGAGCGAACGGG
rnacentral:rRNA from 1 species